rnacentral:lncRNA from 1 species
CGUGCUCGGUGUAAGCUCCGAUAAGAGUAGGCUCCAAGAAGCGGUCCCCGCGGGCUCAGUUCCGGGAGCCAGAAUUCGGCCUCUUAGUGCUUGGUGUAUGCUCUGAUAGGAGCAGGGUCCAAGAAGCCCCUAAUACAAUCCUUAAUGAGAAAAGCGAAGCAGGAGACAUCAUAAUCCCAGACCUUAGAGCUAUAACAACAAAAAUGGCAUGGUAUUUGGCACCAAAACAGACAUGAAUACCAAUGGAACAGAAUAGAAGACACAGAGUCAAACCUAUAUAAAUACUCUUACCUUAUAUUAGACAAAGGUGCCAUAAACAUACAAUGGAGAACAUAUAGCCUCUUCAACAAAUGGUACUGGGAAAACUGGAAAUCCAUAUGUAGUAGAAUGAAAUUGAACCCCAUAUCUCUCAUCCUGCACAAAACUCAACUCAAAGUGGAUCAAGGAUCUAGGCAUUAGACCAGAGACCCUGCGCCUAAUAGAUGAAACAGUAGGCUCAAAUCUAUAUCAUAUCAGAUUAGGAACUGAAUUCCUCAACAAGACUCCUAAAGCACAAGAAGUAAAAUCAAGAAUCAAUAAAUGGGAUGGUAUCAAACCAAAAAGCUUCUUUACAGCAAAGGAAACAAUCAAGAAUGUG